UACGUAGGGGGGGCAAGCGUUGUCCGGAAUCAUUGGGCGUAAAGAGCGUGUAGGCGGCUCGAUAAGUCUGCUGUGAAAAGUCCAGGGCUCAACCCCUGGAAGGCCGGUGGAAACUGUCGGGCUAGAGUCCGGAAGAGGCGAGUGGAAUUCCCGGUGUAGCGGUGAAAUGCGCAGAUAUCAGGAAGAACACCAAUGGCGAAAAGCAGCUUUCUGGGACGGUACUGACGCUGGAGACGCGAAAGCGUGGGGGAGCGAACAGG
rnacentral:rRNA from 1 species